GACGAACGCUGGCGGCGUGCCUAAUACAUGCAAGUAGAACGCAGUUGCGAACGGGCGAGUAAUGCGUAGGUAACUGCCUGGUAGUGGGGGAUAACUAUUGGAAACGAUAGCUAAUACCGCAUACUACCAGAUCGAUCUCCGUUGUAUUAGCUAGUUGGUGGGGUAACGGCUCACAAAGGCAACGAUACAUACCCGACCUGAGAGGGUGAUCGGACACACUGGGACUGAGACACGGCCCAGACUCCUACGGGAGGCAGCAGUAGGGAAUCUUCGGCAAUGGACGGAAGUCUGACCGAGCAACGCCGCGUGAGUGAAGAAGGUUUUCGGAUCGUAAAGCUCUGUUGUAAGAGAAGCGGUAUCUUACGAGAAAGGGACGGCUAACUACGUGCCAGCAGCCGCGGUAAUUC
rnacentral:rRNA from 1 species